CCGUACUAGCCGGGGAACUAGCGGUGCCCUGUACUUGCAAUCCGCUACAGCAAGGGUGAUGGAGCGAUCGAGGGUUUCCGAUUGAGGAGCAGCCCUUAGUAAGUGGCGUUGACGUUUGGGUCUUACGCAAUAGGAAUCUAUGAACCGUGUCAGGUCAGGAAUGGAGCAGCACUAAGUAGAACCUUCUAUGUGCCGUAAGGGUGCCUGAAUCGAGCAAACUGCUAAGGUAACGUCUUUGAGGAGAAAUUCAAAAUCCUCCGUACGG
rnacentral:SRP_RNA from 2 species